ACCUCUAUUCAGAAACAAACAGAAAUAAACAGAAGAGACAGGUUUACUCUUGCCAGUAGGUAUUUUCCUCAAGAUGGGCCAAGUUCUUGAUUUGAUCGAUAAAAGGCUACACAGCUACCUCCCCAUUGUGACUGGGACUGUGCCAUACGUCUGAGGGAGGGGGCUGUACCACCUAGGAUUACCACCAGGAGGAGACCGAGAGAUUGGAGCAAUACAUCAGGGAAGCAUCAUGAAACUCGCCUUGGAGGACUGGAGACAUUGGCUGGAAGGAGUACAACACCCCUUUACGGAUCUAGACCGCAGCAUAGAGGCCGAUAUCCCGCGUCCACACUACCCACCAAACCGACUCUAUGUUCUGCCCAAGCACCGUGCAGCUCUCAUCACAUGGGCGCACACGUCGAUGGGAAUGGGACAUCUGGGAUCAACACCCACGGCACCAUUGUUGAGUGCACGCUACUGGUGGCUGGCGAUGCACAAAGACGUGGUCAGAUAUGUAACAUCAUGCAAAGACUGUGUUCGCAGCAAGAUGU